UUUAAUUAGGCUAUACACGAAUGACUACUAAUUGUAAGCAAUUCGUUUACAAUUAUAGAUCCAAACAUAAAUUUGUCAUUGAAAUAUCGAAAUCGUGCAUUACUUUUUUCUUUUCUGUUAUUUGAGUGGUUUUCAUAAAAAUUAAAAUCUUAUUAAUGAAUUUUUCAUUAAUCGUAACAUAUGACAAUGUAAUAUGAAUAUUCAUAUGAAGAAUUUACAAUAUUAAUCUCAGGAACCGAGGAAAAGGGUCAUAAGAAAGUUCGGAAAAAACGGAAGUUCAUCAAAUGUUCCAAGAAUCGCUUGAAUCAUUGUAAACAGAUACCAUUAAAAUAUAUUCAUAAUGUGAGUCCAUGGAUCCAUCCAUUAAAAAGAAGUUCACUUCGCAUGAAAUAAUUGUCUUUCAUUUGAAACAAACGUUAUUCAAAUGUUUUUA